rnacentral:rRNA from 1 species
GACGAACGCUGGCGGCGUGCUUAACACAUGCAAGUCGAACGGAAAGGCCCUGCUUUUGUGGGGUGCUCGAGUGGCGAACGGGUGAGUAACACGUGAGUAACCUGCCCUUGACUUUGGGAUAACUUCAGGAAACUGGGGCUAAUACCGGAUAGGAGCUCCUGCUGCAUGGUGGGGGUUGGAAAGUUUCGGCGGUUGGGGAUGGACACGCGGCUUAUCAGUUUGUUGGUGGGGUAGUGGCUUACCAAGGCUUUGACGGGUAGCCGGCCUGAGAGGGUGACCGGCCACAUUGGGACUGAGAUACGGCCCAGACUCCUACGGGAGGCAGCAGUGGGGAAUAUUGCACAAUGGGCGGAAGCCUGAUGCAGCAACGCCGCGUGCGGGAUGACGGCCUUCGGGUUGUAAACCGCUUUCGCCUGUGACGAAGCGUGAGUGACGGUAAUGGGUAAAGAAGCACCGGCUAACUACGUG